rnacentral:rRNA from 1 species
GACGAACGCUGGCGGCGUGCUUAACACAUGCAAGUCGAACGGAAAGGCCUGCUUUCCCUUGUGGAUUGCGGGUACUCGAGUGGCGAACGGGUGAGUAACACAUGAGUGAUCUGCCCCCAACUUGGGUAUAAGCCUGGGAAACUGGGUCUAAUUCCCGAUAGGACUGCAGGGUGGUGCCUGUGGUGGAAAACGAUUUUCUAGUGGUUGGGGAUGAGCUCGCGGCCUAUCAGCUUGUUGGUGGGGUAAUGGCCUACCAAGGCGGCGACGGGUAGCCGGCCUGAGAGGGUGGACGGCCACAUUGGGACUGAGAUACGGCCCAGACUCCUACGGGAGGCAGCAGUGGGGAAUAUUGCACAAUGGGCGGAAGCCUGAUGCAGCGACGCCGCGUGGGGGAUGACGGCCUUCGGGUUGUAAACUCCUUUCGACCGCGAGGAAGCCACCUGGUUGGAAGGGUGGUGACGGUAGUGGUAGAAGAAGCACCGGCUAACUACGUG